GAUGAAGAACGUAGCGAAAUGCGAUAAGUAAUGUGAAUUGCAGAAUUCAGUGAAUCAUCGAAUCUUUGAACGCACAUUGCGCCCGCCAGUAUUCUGGCGGGCAUGCCUGUUCGAGCGUCAUUACAACCCUCAAGCUCAGCUUGGUGUUGGGCCCCGCCGCCCCGGCGGGCCCUAAAGUCAGUGGCGGUGCCGUCCGGCUCCGAGCGUAGUAAUUCUUCUCGCUCUGGAGGUCCGGUCGUGUGCUCGCCAGCAACCCCCAAUUUUUUUCAGGUUGACCUCGGAUCAGGUAGGGAUACCCGCUGAACUUAAGCAUAUCAAUAAGCGGAGGA
rnacentral:misc_RNA from 1 species